UACGUAGGGUGCAAGCGUUGUCCGAAAUUAUUGGGCGUAAAGAGCUCGUAGGCGGUUUGUUGCGUCGGCUGUGAAAUCCCGAGGCUCAACCUCGGGUCUGCAGUCGAUACGAGCAAACUAGAGUGUUGCAGGGGAGACUGGAAUUCCUGGUGUAGCGGUGAAAUGCGCAGAUAUCAGGAGGAACACCGGUGGCGAAGGCGGGUCUCUGGGCCGUAACUGACGCUGAGGAGCGAAAGCAUGGGGAGCGAACAGG
rnacentral:rRNA from 1 species